AGAGCUAAGUAAUACGAAAAUAUUUAGGAGAGGGAAUUGGGGAGCAGAAAGCGAGGGAGGCGCGAAAGAAGAGAGAGAUUUUUCUUUUCUUAAUCUUUUUUGCUAGCUAUUCGUACCGAGCGAGCGAUUAUGAGCAGGAGCGGAGCAGCGCUGGUGGCCGCCGUCACGUCCUGCGCCGCGGCGAUUACUGUCGUCGCUUCCUACUCCACCGUGCUUUCCGGCCCAGCUUUCCAGACCCCCGUUCUGGAAGGAGGAUGGUCUCGCGAACAACAGGAACAGCAGCAGCAGCAGCAGCAGCAGCAGCAGCAGCGUUUUCCUCCUACAGCAGGCCGAUUCUCUCCGCGAUUUGAUGGCCUGCGCUUCAUCGAGACCCUCGUCACCGCUCAUAGAUGAAGAGGAUCGGCAGAUCAGAUCCUCGUCUCUUCCAUAUACGUCCAAUCCAUUCCACUUUAUAUUCCUUUAAACACAGUGUAAUGAUCGGUAGCCACGGUGCAAACUUUGUUAUCAGCCUGCUCAACCAAGUACUUUGGCUAAUUACCCUCGAAAAAAAUGUCGUCUCUGCUAAUUGUGCAGUGUUUAAUGAAUUUUCUGGAGUUAUUGGCUUGA